rnacentral:tmRNA from 1 species
GGGGACGACAGGCUUCGACGUGGUCGGUUCGUGGGGGCGGUUGCGAGUCGAGGUACCGGAGGCCUCGUAAAACCCCGGUAACAACAAAUGCGAAUUCUCGCACGGCCGUGGCGACCAGCCACGACUUCCCGCUCGCCGUCUAGCCGAAACUAGGCAGUGAGUCUCGGCCCCCGGAGCCUGCGACGGGAUCAGGCCGAGUCAGAUAGCAGGACUACUGGAGGAUCAGCCCGCCUGAGCUGACCAAAGGGAAAUUCGAUCAGGCUGGCGCCCCACAACCUCGCCGGUGAAGCGAGUGGGGAGCGAGAUUUAGAGCACCGGAUACGCUCGUAGAUACCGUUCUUUACGCGAUCGCGGACGCGGGUUCAAUUCCCGCCGUCUCCACUG